GCACAAGCAGUGGAGUAUGUGGUUUAAUUCGAAGCAACGCGAAGAACCUUACCAGGUCUUGACAUCGGAUGCACACCUAAGAGAUUAGGGAAGUCCUUCGGGACAUCCAGACAGGUGGUGCAUGGUUGUCGUCAGCUCGUGUCGUGAGAUGUUGGGUUAAGUCCCGCAACGAGCGCAGCCCUUAUCGUUAGUUACUACGCAAGAGGACUCUAGCGAGACUGCCGUUGACAAAA
rnacentral:rRNA from 1 species